rnacentral:rRNA from 1 species
UACGGAGGGGGCUAGCGUUGUUCGGAAUGACUGGGCGUAAAGCGCGCGUAGGCGGAUCUGCAAGUCGGGGGUGAAAUCCCGGGGCUCAACCCCGGAACGGCCUUCGAGACUGCGGGUCUUGAGUUCGAGAGAGGUGGGUGGAAUUCCGAGUGUAGAGGUGAAAUUCGUAGAUAUUCGGAGGAACACCAGUGGCGAAGGCGGCCCACUGGCUCGAGACUGACGCUGAGGCGCGAAAGCGUGGGGAGCAAACAGG